UACGAAGGGGGCUAGCGUUGCUCGGAAUCACUGGGCGUAAAGCGCACGUAGGCGGGUCUUUAAGUCAGGGGUGAAAUCCCGGAGCUCAACUCCGGAACUGCCUUUGAUACUGGAGAUCUUGAGUCCGGGAGAGGUGAGUGGAACUCCGAGUGUAGAGGUGAAAUUCGUAGAUAUUCGGAAGAACACCAGUGGCGAAGGCGGCUAUCUGGACGGUUUCUGACACUAAGACUCGAAAGCGUGGGGAGCAAACAGG
rnacentral:rRNA from 1 species